GACGAACGCUGGCGGCGUGCUUAACACAUGCAAGUCGAACGUGAUUUUUGUGGAAAUUCUUUCGGGAAUGGAAAUGAAAUGAAAGUGGCGAACGGGUGAGUAACACGUUAGCAACCUACCUUACACAGGGGGAUAGCCGUUGGAAACGACGAUUAAUACCGCAUGAGACCACAGAAUCGCAUGAUAUAGGGGUCAAAGAUUUAUCGGUGUAAGAAGGGCUCGCGUCUGAUUAGCUAGUUGGAAGGGUAAAGGCCUACCAAGGCGACGAUCAGUAGCCGGUCUGAGAGGAUGAACGGCCACAUUGGAACUGAGACACGGUCCAAACUCCUACGGGAGGCAGCAGUGGGGAAUAUUGCACAAUGGGGGGAACCCUGAUGCAGCGACGCCGCGUGAGCGAAGAAGGUUUUAGAAUCGUAAAGCUCUGUCCUAUGAGAAGAUAAUGACGGUAUCAUAGGAGGAAGCCCCGGCUAAAUACGUG
rnacentral:rRNA from 1 species